GAGUUUGAUCGUGGCUCGGAUUGAACGCUGGCGGCAUGCCUUACACAUGCAAGUCGAACGGCAGCACGGGAGCUUGCUCCUGGUGGCGAGUGGCGAACGGGUGAGUAAUGCAUCGGAACGUAUCCUGGAGUGGGGGAUAACGUAGCGAAAGUUACGCUAAUACCGCAUAUUCUGUGAGCAGGAAAGCGGGGGACCUUCGGGCCUCGCGCUCUUGGAGCGGCCGAUGUCGGAUUAGCUAGUUGGUGAGGUAAAGGCUCACCAAGGCGACGAUCCGUAGCAGGUCUGAGAGGAUGAUCUGCCACACUGGAACUGAGACACGGUCCAGACUCCUACGGGAGGCAGCAGUGGGGAAUUUUGGACAAUGGGGGCAACCCUGAUCCAGCCAUGCCGCGUGAGUGAAGAAGGCCUCGGUUGUAAG
rnacentral:rRNA from 1 species